rnacentral:rRNA from 1 species
CAGUAGCCGCGGUAAUACGUAGGGUGCAAGCGUUAAUCGGAAUUACUGGGCGUAAAGCGUGCGCAGGCGGUUUGUUAAGACAGAUGUGAAAUCCCCGGGCUUAACCUGGGAACUGCAUUUGUGACUGGCAAGCUAGAGUAUGGCAGAGGGGGGUGGAAUUCCGCGUGUAGCAGUGAAAUGCGCAGAUAUGCGGAGGAACACCGAUGGCGAAGGCAGCCCCCUGGGCCAAUACUGACGCUCAUGCACGAAAGCGUGGGGAGCAAACAGGAUUAGAUACCCCUGUAGUCCCUGUCUCUUAUAC